rnacentral:rRNA from 1 species
GAUGAACGCUGGCUGCGUGCCUAAUACAUGCCAGUCGAGCGAACAGACGAGGAGCUUGCUCCUCUGACGUUAGCGGCGGACGGGUGAGUAACACGUGGAUAACCUACCUAUAAGACUGGGAUAACUUCGGGAAACCGGAGCUAAUACCGGAUAAUAUAUUGAACCGCAUGGUUCAAUAGUGAAAGACGGUUUUGCUGUCACUUAUAGAUGGAUCCGCGCCGCAUUAGCUAGUUGGUAAGGUAACGGCUUACCAAGGCAACGAUGCGUAGCCGACCUGAGAGGGUGAUCGGCCACACUGGAACUGAGACACGGUCCAGACUCCUACGGGAGGCAGCAGUAGGGAAUCUUCCGCAAUGGGCGAAAGCUUGACGGAGCAACGCCGCGUGAGUGAUGAAGGUCUUCGGAUCGUAAAACUCUGUUAUUAGGGAAGAACAAAUGUGUAAGUAACUAUGCACGUCUUGACGGUACCUAAUCAGAAAGCCACGGCUAACUACGUG